UACGUAGGGGGCGAGCGUUGUCCGGAUUUAUUGGGCGUAAAGAGCUCGUAGGCGGCUUAGCAAGUCGGGUGUGAAAACUCCAGGCUCAACCUGGAGACGCCACUCGAGACUGCUAUGGCUAGAGUCCGGUAGGGGACCACGGAAUUCCUGGUGUAGCGGUGAAAUGCGCAGAUAUCAGGAGGAACACCGGUGGCGAAGGCGGUGGUCUGGGCCGGCACUGACGCUGAGGAGCGAAAGCGUGGGGAUCAAACAGG
rnacentral:rRNA from 1 species